rnacentral:rRNA from 1 species
ACGAACGCUGGCGGCGUGCUUAACACAUGCAAGUCGAACGGAAAGGCCCCUUUGGGGGUACUCGAGUGGCGAACGGGUGAGUAACACGUGAGUAACCUGCCCUUGACUUCGGGAUAACUUCAGGAAACUGGCUAAUACCGGAUAGGAAUCCUUGCUGCAUGGUGGGGGUUGGAAAGCUUCGGCGGUUUUGGAUGGACUCGCGGCUUAUCAGCUUGUUGGUGGGGUAGUGGCUUACCAAGGCUUUGACGGGUAGCCGGCCUGAGAGGGCGACCGGCCACAUUGGGACUGAGAUACGGCCCAGACUCCUACGGGAGGCAGCAGUGGGGAAUAUUGCACAAUGGGCGGAAGCCUGAUGCAGCAACGCCGCGUGCGGGAUGACGGCCUUCGGGUUGUAAACCGCUUUCAGCAGGGGCGAAGCUUGUGGUGACGGUACCUGCAGAAGAAGCACCGGCUAACUACGUG